rnacentral:lncRNA from 1 species
UCGGAUUGUGCCUGCUCAGCUGCUUCAUGCACUUGUAAGUGAGGAACUGAAGCGGCCAUUUCUGCCUCUUCGACUACCAUGGCUGCGGAAGGUUCGGCUCCAUCACCGGGGCCUUGUGUUUCCAUUACCGCCAGUUUGAAUUGCUCCGGGCGAAUGAAUCGCAUUAGUGUGAUUUGGCUAGCAGAUAACAUGGUCAUGUAAUGGAGACAAGUCAUUGUCGCCUCCUUCAUUCAUAUGAGGACUACUGAGGUCCUCAUGUCCUUCCCC